CCCCGCCAAACCUCACACCUCGAAAGAAAAACAACCUCACUAUAUAAUGAGGCUGUUCACUUUAAACCGAGGAAACAGGAUACUCUUUUGCUUCCAAUGAUACAAGCAAUCUCCAGAAACAGCACUGCACUAACCUAGUCCCGAGACCAGUUACUUCUUUGGAAAGACUGUAAUAGGAGUGACAUGGAAAAUUAAAAAAAAUACUGUGA
rnacentral:lncRNA from 1 species